ensembl:lncRNA
CCCCUUCCCUUCCCUUCCCUUCCCUUCCCUUCCCUUCCCUUCCCUUCCCUUCCCUUCCCUUCCCUUCCCUUCCCUUCCCUUCCCUUCCCUUCCCUUCCCUUCCCUUCCCUUCCCUUCCCUUCCCUUCCCUUCCCUUCCCUUCCCUUCCCUCUCCUUCCCUUCACCCUUUUCUUCUCCCUUCUCCCUUCUCUUUUCCCUUCCCUUCCCUGUUGGUGCCAGACAGCACGCAGCAGAUGAUCCCUGGAGGGGUAUGCUCAGCACACACAAACAUGAUGUUUACUGGCUCUGGGAUGGAUCAGGGAGGGAUUUAGAGACUCCAAGCUUGGCUGUGUGGCUCAGAGAUCACCCUGCAAUGCUAACAGCUGCUGUGCCCAAUCCACGAGGGGCUGCUUCUGGCACUUGUACUGAGCCAUCAAGCCCAGGAUUUUCUCCCUGCUCAGAUGCUGGAGCCAGCUGGAGUCAGACCAAAGCUGAGGGUGUGCAAAUCCUCCAGCAGACAGAUACACCAAGAGGGGCUGUCCAGCUCCCAGCUGCAGGCAGGAAUGGACACGGGUAGGAGCUGAAUACCAGAGCAUCAGCCCAGGUACACUGGGAAGAAUGGGGCUGCUGCUGUAUUUUAAGCCGCCUGGUUUGAAAGCUGUGAAAGCAGAACGGAGGAUUUAAUGGCACGUUAAAUAUACGGCUGAUUGUUAGGUCCAAUUCUGAUUCCAAGGCAAAUAUGGCCCUGGGAAUUAAGGAUGAAGAUGGGUUUCACUAUGAGGAUCCACGUGCAAAGGGCGGCUGCCCAUCUGUAGGGCCAUCUGUGGUGCUGGCGGGGCAAGUGAUGGAGCGGGCACUGAGCCUGGAGGAGGAGGACAACCCGGCACGUGUCCUGCACUGGGUUUGGGGGUGGGACAGACGGAGGAGAGGAUGUCUGGGAAGCAUGGAGCCAUGCCCAUGGGUGAUGGUUGGACCACGGAACUGUCCCAGCUCCCAGCCCUGCAGCAUCCUUCAUGGGAGCUGGGUGGUGAGAACAAGCAGAGAGCAAAUGCUGCUGAGCGGAAGAAAAUGGGAGGGGGACACCAAACCCAAACCCCUUCUUUUGCAUAUUCAAAUUACGUCGUAGUGUUGCUAGGGAUGUGAUUCAGCUUGAGAACAUGUUGUUUGUAUUGAUUUAUCCCCACAGCCCUCAAGACUUCUUGAAAACAAUAAGUGUUGACGCUGCCAAAGCUGGAGCUCAGUGUUGAUACUACAUAAUGAAAAUCGCACGCGUUGGCUCUGCUCCACCAAUGUGGUGCACUGAAGCAAGCACCUCUGCAGCUGCACCCUGCACAGCACCUUCAGGUCACCCUGCAGCCAGCACGGUGCGUGGCCAUGGCAAGGGUGCCUGGAAACCCCAACCCAUGCUCAUGCUACCCCAGCCCCACUCAGUGCAGGAUCUGGCUGUGGCUAAGCCAGACACUGCUGCGUUUUCUAUCCCCUAUAGCAGUUACAUUAACUCUUUUCUUUAUCCUUAACACAGCCUAUAACACAACAGAACACUUCUAUAGGUCUAGGAAAAUGUAUUAUGUCCUAGCCCAGGGCCAGGUUACAUGGCUCCAGCGCACAUACUCUCCCCACUGGGGUGAUUUCUGCUGGAAAUGGCUCCCCAGGGACAGCCCCUCUGCCCCUCAGGAUGGAGAGGGGCUGAGCUGCUUUCUCCAGCACAGAGGAUACCCUCCAUCAAGCUGCAUGGUUUUGCUAAAUCCCCAUCCAUCAGCAGGGCAGAUAGCAUUUUUUCCAGCUCAGGGGUAUCAGUUUCCUUCAUUACGGCUGUUAGCAAUGUGCCUCUUGACACAGCUCAGCCGCUGUGCCUUGUCCCAAUGCUUGAGUGCCCAGGAAUGAUGCCAGGAGCCAACCUGGGCGCUGUAGGGACAGAGCAUCACGAGUCGCUAUGCUGCACAUGGAGAAGUCGGAGGGAUCCAGGGAGCAAUUUGAUCAGGUGUCCAACGACGCAAGUAGAAAGGUGACAGGCUGAGGCUGAGCCACUCAUAAUGGAGCCCAAAUCCUGGGAAUGGGCAUCUUGAGCAUUGGUAAGAGACAGUGGGGUGAUGUGCCUCCAAAACUGCAUGGAAAUGCGGCGUGAAGCUGCCAGGUGGUGGGAAAGAGGGCAGGAAAGGAAAUGAGACCCAGCUGGGGACGUGUACACCCUCCUUCCCUUUAAUAAAGGACUGCUUGGGCCCCAGGGAGGCUCUGCAGGAGCCCUUCAGCUGGUGGGAUGCACUCUGGGCUUUGGUACCCGUGCAGAUCUCUGAGCCACGGUUGGGCACCUCAUCCCUCUGAUGAGCAGCAGUGAUGGGGAGUGCUCUCAGCUUAAAAGCCACCUUCAAAAUUUACAAAGCCAGCACUGGGACAGGCCGUGGGGUUGGAUGUUUUGGCCCGAGGUUUUGGGGUGGUAUUUUGGAGCUGAGCUCUGCUCCAGAAGUCAGCUUUAACCCCCCCCCCUGCUCGGUGCCGUCCCAGCCCACAGCGCUGUCGGCAGAGCCAUCGCUCAUCUCGCCCAGGUUCACUGCGUCCCCCUCUCGCUCUGGCUCUUAUCUCCCUGUUUAUGGCUGUAAAUUAUUGAAGUCAGAAAGGCUGACUCAGCAACGGAGGCUGGAGGAAAUUUCUACCCAUCUAUCAAAGUGACGAAUCCCACUCCCGUCUGCGCUCAGCGCGAGCCGUGUCACCUUGCGGCACGCUUGCCUUCAGGCUGGCACUGGUGGUGGCACACAUGCCUUGUGCCUGUCCCACCUGGCUCAAAACAGUGUGAGCAUAGCAUAGGGCUGGCAGCGGGUGUCAGAUCCCGGUGUGCUGUGUGAUGGAUCUGGGCAGGUGGUGAUCCCCUGCUGUGCCAUGCGCCACCAGCGGUGAUGGGAUGGUGAGCUGGAGUCAUUGAUAAACGUGUUAUCUAAACAAGAAUGCACCCGUCUGCACAGGGAGCUCUGCUGGAGUACCCUGCACGACUUGUUUUGGGGCUGCUCAGUGCCUGGAGGUAUCCAUUGGCCGGGGGAGAUGGGGCUUGUCCCCGGCCCCAUACUGCCACUCUGUCACCCACCCCAAUGGCCUUCCCAUCCCCAUGGUGGAAGUGCCACGGUGGCUGAGCACCCAGGGAGGGGAAAGCUUUGUUUGUGUGUUUAUCCCCCAUUAAUUUAUCGAAGUGGCACGGGAACCUGCUAAUGAAGUCUCGAAGAUGGAUUAUGGCUGGGUUGUAUUACGUGGGGCUCAUAGGAUAGUUAAUUACCUUGGGAAGCUAGAAUGCAAUGAAUACUUCAUAAAGCCAAAGCCAACAGUGAAUUAUUCAUUAUCCAUUUAUCAGGGGUGGCUAUGAUAAACCCUCUGGGGCCAGGGGCUGCACGUGGGCUCUCCUUCCUGGCUCUCAGCAGACACAGACACCGAAUCUCUCCCUGGCUGAGAUCCAUCCCAAUCUCUGAGUCAUGCUGAUGAAGUGAACCCUGGGGGAAAGGAGCCACGAGAUGGAAAACUCACCAGACCGUGGGCAGAAUGAAGGACUGGACUGCCGUUAAAUACCGCUGCAGUGCUUGGCUGGAUGGUGACGGAGCAGCGACGGGGCUGUCACAUCCCGGCUGCCACAAGAAAUAGGCUUUGCUGCCAUCUACCUCUGCUGGGCUCCCCCGCAGCUGGCUCAGCUCCGUGGGGGUGCUCUGCUCUGGGGGCUGCCCCACAGCUCCUGGGAGCCCCAGCACCUCCUGACUGGGGACUGAAGUCUGGAUGGAGUCUUGCAAUGGCAGCACUUGGGCUUCUUGGUCCUCCCGUCUGCCUCUGUCCUUCUGCUUUGCUUUGGUCACCAAGUGGUGGCUCUUGCAACAUGGUCCUCAAGCAGCACUGCCCCCAAGGCUGCCUUCUCCCCUUCAGUGCAUGGGGUUGAUGCAUUCUAACCUCUAUGACUUGGGGGGGUAAACCAUCCCCAGACAUCCUGCUUCACCCAUCAUCUGCCACCAAACCAGGUGUUGUUCCAGCAGGGCCUCCGAGGGCAGCAGACUGUUCCCUCUGUUUUCCCCAUUUCACUGUUUUUUGGCUGGCCCACACUGCACAUCUGGGUGGGGUUUUCCCCUAUACCUGCAGCCAAACCUGCUCCCAGCUCUCCAUCCUGCACAGGGGGUAGAAGACCUUUCAGAUCCCUUUCAACCCAAGCCAUUCUCCGAUCCCUGCUGGGUGACAAUGCAGCAGCAGUGGGGUGGCCCUGUCCUUUCCCUCCCAUGGCUCUGCCAUCCUGCUGCCCCUGUCCUACUGCUGUUUUGCAGCCACCAGCCGACAGCAAUGCCGAGUUCAGACCGCCUCCCCCCCACCUCAUCCACCCAAUUUGUAGUUUUGUGUUAUCCCCUGAAAUCCGUGCUCCUGCCCAUGUUCUCUGCACCUUAAGGAAUAUUUAACCACCUGUUAAAUUAUUUAUCCCUCCGAGGUUCCAUGCACCCAGGGCGGCUCGCGGGGCUCCUGGAGAAUUAACAAGAGCCAUAAAUCAAAGAGACGUUUGAGAAAUUUCCCAUUGCUCGUGCUGAUGGCGGCCUGGCCCCCGAAAUGCCACUCGCAGGUUGGGAGCCGGGUGCUGCCACUUGCUGCUAUUACUUGUUUAGGAGCUUAGAUUUAGAAGUUAAACACCCUCCAGGAAACGGAUGCAAUAUGCCGAGGGCUGGAAUUGGGUGGCUGCCACCCCUUAAUGCUGCUGCUCACAGUGUGGGUUUUCAGGCUUUGCAAGGCACUGACACUGAUUCAGUCUGAGGGUGACAGCAGCUGAGAGCAGCUUAUAGGUGGCCGUGCUGUGGGACAAGGGGACAGCAGCAUUCCUGGCUGCAAUGUACUUGGGUCUGAGCAGAUCUGGGGUCAGUGCUUGCUCCUGCAGCUCCCAAAACACAGCUGGGGCCAGAGGUGAUGGUGAGCUCUCCUGCUCCUUUUCCAGUGCGUGGAUGAAAGCGAGCACACAGCAGGUGAUGGUGCUCUUCUGAUGUUCCCCAAAGGAGGCCUUAUCCUAUGCUGAAAAGACCAGGAUUAAAGCAGCAAGCUUGCUUCAGAGGGAACUCAAGGCACCAUUGCCUGGUUGCACUUUUCAUCUGCAUUAGGGUGGCACGAGGAGCAGUGCCAGAAAUGAGGAUGUGUAUCGAUCUCUGAGGUCACAGCCAGCCUGGAGCAGUGCUUUACUAAAAUUCCCCCUGCAGCCCACGGGCAGCAGCAGCAGCUCUGCCUGGUGUUUGCUGCUCUGACCACGUUUUCCUGUUCCCUACAGACCAGCAGGGGAGGGAUGGGGUGAGGUGAGGUCUCUGUCCUGCUGCGGUACUCAAGCCUGUGAUGGGAGCAGCUCUCCUGACUUCUCCCCCAGCAGAAGUGGGAGCUGUGGGAGCUCGAGGCAGCCCAGCAUAGGAGGAGGGUUGCAGAGUGACAAAUUCCUGUGCACUGCACAAUCCCGUGGAGCUGGACAUGGCUGCUCCGGCGCAGAUCCAGCUCACCAUUUGUAGCCCCUAUACCAAGAAUGCCUCUCCUUUGGGUCCCCCAGUUUCUCCCCAUGCUGAGAGCCUUCUGCAGGGUGGCAGAGCCUGCUGCUCGCUGCUGACCGAAGAGCAAAUCACUGCAGCGAGUGGUUUCCCACUGCAGCCCAACCUUUAUGCUCCCAAUUCAUCAUCUUGGCUAGGCUGUGCAUGGUUCAAUUCCCUCCAUUAGCUCUCGAGCCCACCAUAAGGUGUAUGGGGUGCACGGGACAAGCCCUACAGCAUCAGGGCACCCUCAGACCAAGGCGGAUUUCUGGAAAGAGUACAAACCCCAGCCCCACUUUUCACUAUGAAUUGAACCAGUGGGCUCCCCACGCUGCAGACACCCAAGGGAGGGGUUUCCUCCUGCCCUGAGCCCUUCGCAUCCUGCCUGCUUCCCACCACUCCUUCCCCAUAGAAGUUUGAGUUUCAGUGCAUCACGUCUGCCCAGUGGGCAGCGAGCCUACAGCAGCCAGCGGAGAGCUGGGGAAAGCACGAAGUAAUAGAGGUAUUUAUUAAAGGAGGGAGGAAAUUUAUAUGCCAUUUCUGCUUCUUCAGCUCUCAGUCAUUGCCGAGGGGAGAGGAGGAGUGGGCAGCCUGAGCAGGAAAUAGCCAGGAGUCUGUUUUCUGCCCAUUUGUCAGUCUGAUGAACAAGAAAAAUAUAGGCGGCCUUGAUAGAGGGGAAAUAAAGAGUCUGGAGGAGGCUGGCGUGUGUCUGCAGGGCUGCUCAAAGCUGUGAGCAGUCCCGGAUCCAUGGGGAAGGCAUUCUGCAGAGGGACUGGUGCCAUCCCAUGGGGUCAAGCAGGAGAGCCCAGGGUGGGGAUGGGGAUGGGGAUAUGAUGAGGAUGAGGA